CAAAUAAUUGGAAAAAGUGCUGACAAGUCAAUUAAGCGACGCAUCGUAGAUGUCACGUGACUGAUGUUAUUUAUGUAAAACUAUCUUUGUAUACUUUUUGGCAAUAUAACAAUGAAUCGGAUCAUUUUUGCUUUAGUUUGUACAACAUGCAUAUUUCAAGCUGUAGUGGUAAUAUCGUUUAUAUUAUUAAAUUAUUUAAUACUUAGUUCAUAUUUAUGAUUUAAUUUUAUAUUUAUAGGCUCUGCCAGAUGCUUUUGAACAUUUUAUUGGUAGCCAAAUUUUAGCAUUAAUUAAAAAUGAAAACUUAAGUUGCACAAACUAUGAAGAAUUUUGUGAGAGAGGCCUGGAACAGUUUCAAAACAGUGUUUAUGUAACUGCAAAGGAUGCCAACGAAUUGGCCACUCAGUUCUG